UGCAGAAUCCCGUGAAUCAUCGAGUCUUUGAACGCAAGUUGCGCCCGAAGCCUUCUGGCCGAGGGCACGUCUGCCUGGGUGUC
rnacentral:rRNA from 7 species